AUUGAACGCUGGCGGCAGGCUUAACACAUGCAAGUCGAACGAGUGGCGGAAGGGUGAGUCAUGAUUGGGAAUCUGGCUUAUGGAGGGGUCUAACGACGGGAAACUGUCGAUAAUACCGCGUACCAUAGGAUGAGCCCCAGUGGGAUUAGGUAGUUGGUGGGGUAAUGGCCUACCAAGCCGACGAUCUCUAGCUGGUCUGCGAGGAUGACCGGCCACACCUGGACUGAGACACGGCCAGGACUCCUACGGGAGGCAGCAGUGGGGAAUAUUGCGCAAUGGGGGCAACCUGACACAGCCAUGCCGCGUGAAUGAAGAAGGCCUUCGGGUUGUAAAGUUCUGUCUGUGACGAGGCGUUAAUCACAGAAGAAGCACCGGCUAACUCCGUGCCAGCCGCCGCGGUAAUAC
rnacentral:rRNA from 1 species